AAUGCUUGGUAUGGUCAAUCUUUUUAAUUAUAGCCGUUCUCAUGGGGAUGUAGUGGUAUCAAAUUAUAGUUUUAAUUUACAAUUCCCUUAUGAUGUUGAGCAUAUUUUUAUGUGCUUAUUUGCUAUUUCUAUAUGUUUGGUGAGGUGUUUAUUCAUUUGGUGAAGUGUCUACAUGUUUGGUGAAGUGUCUAUUCUCUAUUUAUUGUAGUGUAUUUUUUUUCUAAUUGACUUUCUAUAUAGAUUUUUUAUAUUCUAGAUACAGGUACUUUGUCAGAUAUGUAAUUUGCAAGUAUUUUCUCCCACUUAGUGCCUCAUUUUUUCAUUCUCUUCACAGUGUCUUAAGAAGAGCAUUUUUUAACUUGGAGGAAGUCCAAUUUAUGUAUUAGUUCACUUAUAGAUUGUAGUUUUGGUAUCUCUUCUAUGAAACCUUCACCUAACUCAAGAUCACAAGGACUCUUUCCUAUGUUUCUUCUAGAAGACUGACAACUUUAGGAUAUAUAUUUAGGUCUGUGAUCCAUUUUGAGUGGACUUUUAUAUGUAGUGUGAUAUAUGGGUCACAAUUGAUAUUUGUGUAUAUGAUAUCCACUUGUUUCAGCACCAUUUGUUGAUAAGACUCCCAUUUCUCCACUGAAUUGCUUUUGCCCCUUUUCCAAAAAUCAGUUGUCCAUAUGUGUGUGGGUCUAUUUCUGGACUCUAUUCUUUUCAGUCUACUUGUCUACCUUGAUUCCAAUACCACACUGUCUUGAUUACGGUAGGUUUCUGAGUCUUAAAAUCCGUAAGUGUUCAUCCUCCAAUUUGAUUCUUUUUCGGAGUUGUUUUUCAUGGCCUAGAUCCUCUGCGUUUCCAUAUAAACUUCAGAAUUGGCCUGCCAAUUUCUUUAAAAAUAUUUGCUAGGAUUUUUAUUGGAUUGCAUUGAAUAUGUGGAUCUAUAUUUAGGGAGAAGUGACACUGAAAUAAUCCUGAAUCUUCCAACCCACAAAGACACUUGUCUCUCCAUUUAUUUAGGUCUUCUUUAAUUUUUCUGAGCAAUGUUUUGAAGUGUUUAGUGAACAGGCUUUGCACAUCUGUGGACAGAUGAUCUAAUUGAUGAAUUCUGCGUUCUUGAGUGGUGAGACAGAGGAAGGAGAGACCAUGUACAUAUAUAAGUAUGUAUGUUUGUAUGUAUGUGUAUAUUGUGGAAGCUGCCAGGAAUCUUUAUUGUGAGGAAUACUUCAGGUUAAUUACUUUACUGUGGUCAUGUCAGUCGUGUUCACUUCCUAACACAUAAUAGGAAGCAAAUCACAGUGGUUGUUUUUUUCCACCUUCAUUUGGCCAGCCUGGUUACCAUGGCGACUCAGUGACUGCUGUGGUAUCUGGUGGAGAUUGAGCAUUGUUUUGUAAUUCUAGCCUGAAUCCCUUACUAGGAUCAUGGUUGUCAAGUGUUGCUUUUCUUAUUUCCUCAUUCCUUCCAGGUUUAUUAAUUGAAAUUUGGCUGGAGGUAGGGCUUUCUCUUCUCCCUGUUUUUUUUUUUUUUUUUAAUUUAUAUCAGUAUGACUCAUAGAUUCCUAUUUUGCAAAAAGAGUUACCAUCUGAUGCUAUAAUUAUUUUUUUUAUGCUCAAAUGUCUCAGAAUUGGCCAAUGGAAGCCCCUUCAAGUUGACUUGUGUCUCUUCGACACUUUCUUAGAAUUUUUUCUUUCUUUUUUUUUUUUAAAGAUUUUAUUUAUUUAUUUGACAGAGAGAGAGGGAGAGAGAAAGUGAGUACAAGCAGGGAGAGCGGCAGGCAGAGGGAGAAGCAGACUCUCUGCUGAGCAGGGAGCCUGAUGUGGGACUCGAUCAUGACUUGAGCCAAAGGCAGACGCUUAACUGACUGAGCCACCCAGGAGCCCCUAGAAUUCUUUCAACAUUUACUUUGUUCCCUGAGGCUAUCUUUUAAUCUGUAGAAAGAAAAUUAUGAUGCCCAACUCAGCAUCACUUUGAGGAACUGAAGAGAAAAUAACAACCUACAGCAUGUGGCGUCUAGUAGGUCCUCGGUGAAUGCUAUUUCUCCAUUCCAAUUUUGCCUCCUUCAUUCUGUCAAGGCAGUGUUUCUGACAUGAACAUCAUAGCAUGAGUACCGGAGACAAUACUUGGACAUGGAGCAGCAAGCAGGGAUGAGCACACAUUUCCAUGAUGUGAGAGCUUCAUUGUCACUGCUGUGUACGGGAGGAGGCUGUGGGAUGGAGCUGGGGAAGAGGCACAGCAUCAUUGGACAGCUUCCAGUGACCUGAGUGGGGACAGGCAAGCACAUGCUCACCCAUUGCCCCUGUGUUUCAUGUGCUCUCCCUUUCUCUCACUUUAUUCUUUAUUCCAUGUGCUGUCUGAUCCCCUGACUCUCCUGGCUAAUGGAGCAGCAGACAAGGCUGUGGACUCUGAGCCCCUGAAAUAGGAGCCAAUAGAGAAGAACAAAGUGUGAUGUUGAGUGUGCUAGACUGGGUCCUAGAACAAGAGUGAAGAGAUUAAGAUCCUAUCAUUGGGACCAUUUAGUGAAAGCAGAGCAGUGUGUGAACUGUGAGCCCCAGAAACAGGAAACAAUAGAGAAGAACCAGGUGUGAUGUCCAGUGUGCUAGACAAAUUGCUGGAACAAGAGCGACAAGAUCAGGGUCCCAUCAUUGGGAUACUUUAGGCAAGUGAUGGAUACAGAGGGAUUGUUCCAGUUAAGUGAAAAUCCAGAAAGCUGGCUGAUCCCAUGAGGUCAAGCUCCCAAUCUCCAUCCUCCCUCCCCUGUGUGGAGCCCCCUGGUCUGAGACUCAGAGCUGCCAUCCUGGAUCUCACCACCAGACUGUUUCUGAAAGUGGAGUUUGAUGAUGGUUCUUUGGCGCCAAAUUGUGGAGAAAGCCUGAACUGCUGCUUGAACCUUAAGGAAGAGGAAAAUGGGAGGGAUGGUCUGUGACACAAACCCACCACACAGAACUUGCUGGAGUUUCCAUUUUGAAAUGGAAAGUGCAGAAUUCCUUGACUAAACCAUAUUGGGGUGCUCUCCCUGGACACUACAUAUAAGUCUAAUCAUACAAUAUCUAAGUCUAAUCAUACAAUAUCUGGUCUUUUGCAUUUUUGACUCCUUUCGCUUAGCUUACUAUUUUCAAGGUUUAUCCAUUUUAUUUUUUAUUUAUUUACUUAUGUAUUUCUCUAUGUAUUUAUGUAUGUAUGUAUGAAUGUAUGUAUAUAUUUUACACCUUGAGGCAAUUCUUGAGAGUGGAGUUUGAUGAUGGUGGUUCUUUGCGCCACCUUGUGGCAAAAGCCUUAACUGCUGCUAAAACACUACAGAACAGGAAAAUGGAAGGGAUGGUCUGUACACAAACCCGCCAGACAGAUCUUUCUCAGGUUAAAGUGGAAAGUGUGGAAUUUCUUGACUAAAGCAUAUUGGAGGGCUCAUUCUAGACAUGGCAUAUAAAUAGAAUCAUUUUUCUAGGCAAAUAUAGACAUAUUUGAAGUCAGUUGCCUUUUUGUCUCCUUUCACUUAGCUUAAUAUUUUCAAAGUUCAUCCAUGUUAUUUAUUUAUUUAGGUAGUUAGUUAGUUACUAUCUUGCUUAUUUACCUAUCUAUCUAUGUAUAUGUAUAUAUGUAUGUAUGUAUUUUACCCUUUACAGAAAACUCUUUGAGAGUGGAAUUGAUGAUGGUGGUUUUUUGGCGCCACCUUGUGUCAAAGCCUGAACUCCUGCUUGAACACUAAGGAACAGGAAAAUAUGAGGGAUGGUCUGUGACACAAACCAACAAGGCAGAUUUUCUGGAGGUCAAAAUGGAAAACUGUUUUUGAAAGUGGAGUUUGAUGAUAGUGGUUCUUUGGCACCAAAUUGUGACGAAAGCCUGAACUGCUGCUUGAACCCUAAGGAAGAAGAAAAUGGGAGGGAUGGUCUGUGACACAAACCCACCACACUGAACUUGCUGGACAAAAUGGAAACAGAGGAAUUCCUUGUCUUGCAAAAUUCUUAGAAGUGAAGUAUGAUUAUGGUGGUUCCUUGGCACCACCUUGUGGCUACAGUCUGAACUGCAACUUGAAUCCUGAGUAACCGCAAAAUGGGAGAGAUGGUCUGUGACACAAACCCACCAGACAGAACUUUCUCAUGUUAAAAUGCAAAGUGGGGAAUUCCUUGACUAAACCAUAUUCAUGUGCUCUCUCUGGACACUACAUGCAAUUCUUGAGUGUGUUUAAUGAUGGUGAAUCUUUGGCACCACCUUGAGGCAAAAGCUUAAACUACUGCUUGAGCGCUAAGGAACAGGAAAUGGGAGGAAUGGCCUGUGACACAACUCCACCACACAAAACUUUGUGGGGGUCAAAAUGGAAAGUGGGGAAUUCAUUGACUAAACCAUAUUGGUGGGCUCUCUCUGGACACUACAUAUAAGUGGAAUCAUACAAUAUGUAGACUUUUGCAUUUUUUCUCCUUUCACUUAGCUGAAUAUUUUCAAGGUUCAACCAUAUCAUUUAUUUAUUUAUUUAUUUAUUUAUGUCUUGCAGAAAAUAGUUGAGAAUGGAGUUUGAUGAUGGUGGUUCUUUGGCGCCACCUUGUGGCAAAACUCUGAACUGCUGCUUGCACACUAAGGAACUGGAAAAUGGGAGGGAUGGGCUGUGACACAACCCUACCACAUAAAACUUUCUGCAGUUUGAAAUGGAAAGUGGGGAAUUCCUUGACUAAUCCCUAUUGGUGGGCUUUCUCUGGAUACUGCAUAUAAUUGAAAUCAUUUUUAUAGACAAAUAUAGACAUAUUUGUGGUCUUUUGCAUUUUGACUCCUUUCACUCAACUUACUAUUUUCAAAGUUCAUCCAUUGUAUUUUUAUUGAUUUACUUAUGUAUUUAUGUAUGUAUUUAUGUAUGUAUGUAUGUAUGUAUUUUACACUGUGCCGACAAUUCUUGAGAGUGGAGUUUGAUGAUGGUGGUUCUUUGGCGCCACCUUGUGGCAAAAACCUGAACUUCUGCUUGCAAACAAAGGAACGGGAAAAUGGGAGGGAUGGUCUGUGACACAACCCCACCACACAGAACUUUGUGGAGGUCAAAAUGGAAAGUUGGGAAUUCCAUAUUGGUGGGAUCUCUCUGGACACUACAUAUAAGUGGAAUCAUACAAUAUGUGGUGUUUUGCAUUUUGGUCUCCUUUCACUUAGCUGAAUAUUUUCAAGGUACAUUGAUUUUAUUUAUUUAUUCGUUUAUUUAUUUAUUUUGUACUUAUUUAUUUAUAUAUUAUACAGCAUGCAAAAAAUACUUGAAUGGAGUUUGAUGAUGUUGGGUCUCUUGCGCCACCUUGUGGCAAAAGCCUGAACUGCUGCUUGAACACUAAGGAACAGGAAAAUGGGAGGGAUGGUCUGUGACACAAACCCACCACAUAAAUCUUUCUGGAGUUCAAAAUGGAAAGUGGGGAAUUCCGUGACUAAAGCAUAUUGGAGGGCUCAUUCUAGACAUGGCGUAUAAAUGGAAUGAUUUUUAUAUACAAAU